rnacentral:rRNA from 1 species
GCCCUUCACUACGGAAUAGCCUCUGGAAACGGAGAGUAAUACCGUAUACGCCCUUUUGGGGAAAGAUUUAUCGGUGAAGGAUUAGCCCGCGUCUGAUUAGAUAGUUGGUGGGGUAACGGCCUACCAAGUCGACGAUCAGUAGCUGGUUUGAGAGGAUGAUCAGCAACACUGGGACUGAGACACGGCCCAGACUCCUACGGGAGGCAGCAGUGGGGAAUCUUAGACAAUGGGCGCAAGUGAUCUAGCCAUGCCGCGUGAGUGACGAAGGCCUUAGGGUCGUAAAGCUCUUUCGCCAGGGAUGAUAAUGACAGUACCUGGUAGAGAAACCCCGGCUAACUCCGUGCCAGCAGCGGCGGUAAUACGGAGGGGGUUAGCGUUGUUCGGAAUUACUGGGCGUAAAGCGCGCGUAGGGGAUUGGAAAGUUGGGGGUGAAAUCCCGGGGCUCAACCCCGAG